rnacentral:rRNA from 1 species
GACGAACGCUGGCGGCGUGCUUAACACGUGCAAGUCGAACGGAAAGGCCCUGCUUUUGUGGGGUGCUCGAGUGGCGAACGGGUGAGUAACACGUGAGUAACCUGCCCUUGACCUUGGGAUAACUUCAGGAAACUGGGGCUAAUACCGGAUAGGAGCUCCUGCUGCAUGGUGGGGGUUGGAAAGUUUCGGCGGUUGGGGAUGGACUCGCGGCUUAUCAGCUUGUUGGUGGGGCAGUGGCUUACCAAGGCUUUGACGGGUAGCCGGCCUGAGAGGGUGACCGGCCACAUUGGGACUGAGAUACGGCCCAGACUCCUACGGGAGGCAGCAGUGGGGAAUAUUGCACAAUGGGCGGAAGCCUGAUGCAGCAACGCCGCGUGCGGGAUGACGGCCUUCGGGUUGUAAACCGCUUUCGCCUGUGACGAAGCGUGAGUGACGGUAAUGGGUAAAGAAGCACCGGCUAACUACGUG